rnacentral:lncRNA from 1 species
AGCAAUUUCACCAUCCUUAGCCUACAAACAAGCAGUUAACAUGAUAUAAGUCAACAAACGAAAGCACCCCACUAAACGAUUAAGAUACAGAAGAUGUACAUUGUAAGAAAAUUAGAGAAAGGAGAAAAAUAACAGAUAAUGUAAUAAAGAUAACAGUUAAUAGAACAUAAUUGAAAGAUUAAAGAAACUUACAGAGCACGUUGUCUGAGCUGAAGUCUUUUUUAUAUGUUCUUGAAUUUAAUCAUCAUCAAGUUCAAAUAGUUGCAAUGUUGUAUGGCACUUGUUAGGAAACACUCGAAAUGCAAAUGCAUUUGUAUAGAUGGAGGAGGUAAAAGUGCUCCGGAUCUACUUUUUAUCUCACUAUCUCUCUCCUAUUAAUAAGUGCUUUUCUCUAUUUGAUUUGACCUAGAAAAGUUGAGGUCAAGGUUCUAUCAUGAAUCCCCAAAUUAUGUUUUAGUUUGGACGUUUAAGGUUGAAUUUGAGGUUUAUCUCUAUUCCCUAAAUUGUGCUCUCUCUCUUUCUCUCUCUCUCUCUCUCUCUCUCUCUCUCUCUCUCUCUCUCUCUCUCUCUCUCUCUCUCUCUCUAUCCUCAUGUGUUGCAUAUUUCAGAAUCGUAACAGAAAUUCAUUGUAUGUCUGCAGAUCGAAACAAACAACAGACAAUGUUUCAGAAUUGUUAUUUGAAUGACCAUAUUAAUGUUGCACAUGUGAUGGCAUACAUAUAUAUGGUUGCGCAUAACUAGCUAGAACAACACAACCUUUUGCUAUAUUGUAGGAUUUAUCAAAUGCAUAAUGAUGAUUUUCACCAUCGUGUGAGAUUUCCAUCAGACAACACUGUGAAAUACAAUAGUGGCGCCCUAUAUGCAUGACCAUACUCCACCGUUGUGUAGUAACAUUCAACUCGGCUAUCAACAUGAGUAAAACAUUAUAAGGUAAAGUAGCCAUAGUCACUAGUGACGCACGCGACAUUGGGGAGGUCACGGCCCGCCUCUUUGCGCUGUUAAUGGAGCAUCCAUGGUGGUCAUCGUGGACAUCCUAGAUGAUCUUAGUUUUCAAUUAGCUAGCCAAGUCUAUUAGCCAAUAAAAAUGCAACUAGCAAAUAGCCCGAAUAAAAUCUAGUUUAAGAUGACCUUCAUUGUCAUGCUAAAUGUGCUAUAAAUCACACAUUUAUAUUUAUGUUGUCACACCCCGGUUCUUAAGUUAUUUUACAGUUAUUUACUUUUGGUAUUUGAUACAGGUGUAUCCUUUAACUUUUAGGAAUUAGUGAUUCCUUCUCCAAGUUAGUUAAGUACAUAGUUUUAUAGCUUGAAAAGGAAUAGUUGUCUAACUUAGUUAAUGAGUAGUUUCCAAGUUAGAUUAGGAUUUAUAGAGUUAGACUCUAUAAAUAGAGGUGCCUAGCUUAGUUCUAGACACCAGAGUGAAACAUAAACAACAUCUGUUUAGAAGAGAGCGAAUCAGAGAGAGCUAGAGAGUUAUUGUGAGAGAAGGCAUUAGACAAUAGUUAUUGUACCCUUUUGCACAAUAAUAAGAGAGGAAUAUAUUUUCUUCGACCUACGUUACUUGUGUGUCUUAGUGCUAUUAAUAAUUCCGCUAUUAGUAGUAACACCUAGGUAACACCUAGGUAAUUCGUAACACCUAGGUAAUUCGUAUCAAGUUGGUAUCAGAGCUAACCGUAUCCGUGGGGAGUCUUGUGGUGUAUGGUCCUGACUCGUUCACUUUACAGAAAGCUAGGAAAAUCUCUUGUGUCUUUGGAAAAUACCACAAGAUCAAGAGGAAAGAAGAUGGGUGAUGAAACACCAGAGAAAGAAAGACUUGCUGCGUUGGAGAAGCAGAUGGCUGCGUCAAACACUGCAAUUGUAGAAUUGACCGGUCUCGUCAAACAGUUGCUAUUGAAGGAAUCACCGGAGAAGCCGAAGGAAACGAAUUCAGAGUCGGAAGAAGAACAAGCAAAGACGGGAUCAGAUGAUGAGUUUGACACUGCCAGCAAAACCUCGCAACAAGAAGGAAGGAGUUCUUUUCGAAACUUAAAGAUUGAUUUCAAGAUUGAAGUUCCGAUGUACGAUGGCAGCGUCAAUGUUGACAAGUUGGACGACUGGAUUGAACGGCUUGACACAUAUUUUACGUUCCAUCGUUUUACAUCACAAGAGAAGAUCACCUGUGCGACUCUGAAACUAUCAUCUCAUGCUUUAACUUGGUGGAAGUCCUACCGGAGGAAUAGUGAUGAGGAGGUAGUGUCGUGGAAGCGGUUCAAAGAAUUGCUUAGAAAGAAGUUAUCCAGUAGGGUUUCUGGAGGAACGAUAGAACAAGUGGCCUAACUUGCGCCAGAAAGUCAAUCAAUCCGUACAAGAGUACACUACCGAAUUUCAGAAUCAAGCUAUGGUUCUAGAUAUAUCCUUGACGGAGUAUUCGAUAUUUACAAAGUACAAAGCAGGACUACAUGAGUACCUCCAAAGGGAGUUGAGUUUGUUCACGGUACAAUCCGUUGAAGAAGCUAGCGAAAAAGCCAUCGCCAUUGAGAAGAAGUUCAAGAGGAACGAAACCAAGGGAGAUGGAAAACAGACUGUGGGCAAGUCAAAUGAUUCCUAUGCCAAAACGGAAGAGCAUAAGAAUGGUGUGUCUAAUGGGAAAGCAUGUUUGGUUUGCAGUUACUGUGAAGGAACAGGCCAUGUGGCAGAUAAGUGUUGGGUAAAGUUCCCUCACCUUAAGCCAAGAGUAUUACGGCACAAGGAGGAGAGGAAGAAGACAACAUUAAUCACCAACGAGGUAAAGGAAGUCCCAGGAAUGACAGAACCAAAUGCGAAGCUCAAUCUUAUGGCAGGAACACAGUUAGGGAACGACAACGAGAACCACAGGGAGCAGCUUUUUGUUGUAAAGCUGCAGGUGAAGACCAGUUUAGUUGAUGCCAUUGUAGAUCCGGGAAGUCAAAAGAACCUUAUCUCGGAAGCUUUGGUUCACAAGUUAGGUCUUCAAACGGUCAAACAUCCGAAGCCAUAUCCAUUAGGAUGGAUUCAGAAGGACACAGGACUCAGUAUUACUAGUCAAUGCAGAUUCAAGUUUGCUCUUCAUGAAUCUUAUAUCGACGAAGUAACAUGCGAUGUGGUGUCAUUGGAUGUUUGUCAGGUGAUUCUAGGAAAUCCUUACUUAUACGAUAGAGAUGCUAUCUACGAAAGGAAGGCUCAGAAGUACACAUUUACGAAAGACGGACAACGAUUCGUUAUCCGGGCGGCACCCCUCCCACCAGAGGCAAGCUUGGUAGCAGCAACUCAGGCUAAAAGAUUAGUUAAUGCUUGUAGGAAAUUUGUCUUGUUGACACGUCCACAUGAAGGGCAAUCAAGUCAAGAUGUUGAGAAGACAAAAUUGAAGAAGUCACAAGCAAAGUACAAGGCUAAGCAUGACAAGCAUCGAGUACCUUGUAACUUUGGUGUUGGUGACUUAGUGUGGUUGAAACUAAGUAAGGAGCGUCUUAAGGGAGAGGGUAAGAAGAUCAAACCGCUUCGGUAUGGUCCUUUCCGUAUUCUGGAGCAGAUUGGUGACAACGCCUUCAAGCUUGAUUUGCCACCAUACUUAGGUCUGUAUUCGGUUAUCAAUGCCGAGUACUUGAAGUUGUUCGAACCACCGUUACUUGAUGAUGAUGGCGACAACAAGACAGUCUUACCACCAGUUGAGAACUUGUGGUUUGAUCGAGAGGAUCCAUUAGUUGAAGAUUGCAUUUUGGAGCGUAAAGUGACUACAACACGUAAGGGGGAGCGGACAUCAUUUCUUAUUGGGCGUGCCGGUCAAGUUCCAAGCAAGGCUAAAUGGUUCAGCGAAGAAAAGGGAACUCUUGAGUUUCCUAAUCUCCAGUUUUAACUUAAACGGGAGUUUAAGUUCCUAAAAGGGGGAGCCAUGAUACAGGUGUAUCCUUUAGCUUUUAGGAAUUAGUGAUUCUUUCUCCAAGUUAGUUAAGUACAUAGUUUUCUAGCUUGAAAAUGAAUAGUUGUCUAACUUAGUUAAUGAGUAGUUUCCAAGUUAGAUAAGGAUUUAUAGAGUUAGACUCUAUAAAUAGAGGUGCCUAGCUUAGUUCUAGACACCAGAGUGAAACAGAAACAACAUCUGUUUAGAAGAGAGCGAAUCAGAGAGAGCUAUAGAGUUAUUGUGAGAGAAGGCAUUAGACAAUAGUAAUUGUAC